rnacentral:sRNA from 1 species
CACUACCAGCCAUCUGAAAAACAUGAGACUUCUAACUUCUGUUCUUUUUUGUAGCAGUGGAAUCCCACGGUGAUAUCUGAGGGAUGUGGUUACCUUUUGGAGGAGGUUGACGGUUUCUAAGGAUGAUUCUUUCUGAGUGAAAUAUUGUCGGUGUCAUUGACCUUUUCAUUAUUUCAACUAUUAUUAUUCCAGGUUAUCAAUACUCUGGCUGUCUAUCGUCAUCGUGAGACUGACUUUUGUGGAGGAGUUCGAGACCACCCUGGCCAACAUGGCAAAACCCCAUCUCCACAAAAAUUGGAUAAUUUGAUAAUUAUCAUUAUUGAGUUUCUGAGACCUUACACAUUUACCAUUCUCUUCUGCACAAAUUACCUUUGUUUGUCUUUCCUGAAGACUAUCUUCCAGUCUGAAAAUGGACAUGAUGGAUCCACAGAUGUACAGCAGAGAGCCUGGAGGAAAUAAAAUUGGCCUGAAAGACGUCAUUACUCUACGGAGACAUGUGAAAGAAAAGUUAGAGCUAAAAUCCAUAAGAUGAAGGUGACAACGAAAAUCAACCAUCAUGACAAAAUCAAUGGAAAGAGGAAGACCGCCAGAAAACAGAAAAUGUUUCAACGUGCGCAAGAGUUGCG